AUGGGCAGGUUGAAGGUUGGGUAACACUAACUGGAGGACCGAACCGACUAAUGUUGAAAAAUUAGCGGAUGACUUGUGGCUGGGGGUGAAAGGCCAAUCAAACCGGGAGAUAGCUGGUUCUCCCCGAAAGCUAUUUAGGUAGCGCCUCGUGAAUUCAUCUUCGGGGGUAGAGCACUGUUUCGGCUAGGGGGUCAUCCCGACUUACCAACCCGAUGCAAACUACGAAUACCGAAGAAUGUUAUCACGGGAGACACACGGCGGGUGCUAACGUCCGUCGUGAAGAGGGAAACAACCCAGACCGCCAGCUAAGGUCCCAAAGUCACAGUUAAGUGGGAAACGAUGUGGGAAGGCACAGACAGCCAGGAUGUUGGCUUAGAAGCAGCCAUCAUUUAAAGAAAGCGUAAUAGCUCACUGGUCGAGUCGGCCUGCGCGGAAGAUGUAACGGGGCUAAACUGUGCACCGAAGCUGCGGCAGCGACACUAUGUGUUGUUGGGUAGGGGAGCGUUCUGUAAGCCUGCGAAGGUGGCCUGUGAGGGUUGCUGGAGGUAUCAGAAGUGCGAAUGCUGACAUAAGUAACGAUAAUGCGGGUGAAAAGCCCGCACGCCGGAAGACCAAGGGUUCCUGUCCAACGUUAAUCGGGGCAGGGUGAGUCGACCCCUAAGGCGAGGCCGAAAGGCGUAGUCGAUGGGAAACAGGUUAAUAUUCCUGUACUUGGUGUUACUGCGAAGGGGGGACGGAGAAGGCUAUGUUAGCCGGGCGACGGUUGUCCCGGUUUAAGCAUGUAGGCGGAGGUUC
rnacentral:rRNA from 1 species